rnacentral:rRNA from 1 species
CANCCCUAACACAUGCAAGUCAAACGGUGGUAGCAAUACCAUAGUGGCGUUUGGGUGCGUAACACGUAACUAACCUACCUAUAACUGGGGGAUAGCCCGCCGAAAGGCGGAUUAAUACCGCAUAAGCUUGUGAGGUGGCAUCACCUUAUUAGUAAAGAUUUAUUGGUUGUAGAUGGGGUUGCGGGUCAUUAGCUAGUUGGUUGGGUAACGGCUGACCAAGGCGACGAUGACUAGGGGAGCUGAGAGGAUGACCAGCCACACUGGGACUGAGACACGGCCCAGACUCCUAUGGGAGGCAGCAGUGGGGAAUAUUGGACAAUGGGCGAAAGCCUGAUCCAGCAAUGCCGCGUGAGUGAUGAAGGCCUUAGGGUUGUAAAGCUCUUUCAGCACGGAAGAUAAUGACUGUACCUGCAGAAGAAGCCCCGGCUAACUCUGUGCCAGCAGCCCGGGUAAU